rnacentral:misc_RNA from 1 species
CUGAGACGAGUUGAAAAUAUAGCAUCGUUUCUCUCCUGAGAGAUGGUUGAUGACAUGAAAGCUAUUCCGCGAUAGUCUCAAGGGCCCUGGGUUGCAAAUUAGCAGCAUUGCCUCACCGACUAGCUGAUCUUACAUUGACAAAAUACCAUCAAAGGAACAAGUUCAAAGGUUUGCUAUCUCCGGGUUUUCUUUGACUGUAGCCUCUUAUAAGCCAUAAACGUCACAGCAGCUGACAGAGAAUACCAUGUAAAUGUGUAGUUAAG